ACGGGUGAGUAACACGUGAGUAACCUGCCCUUGGCUCUGGGAUAAGCCCGGGAAACUGGGUCUAAUACCGGGUAUGACGCAUUCUCGCAUGGGGGUGUGUGGAAAGUUUUUUCGGCUGGGGAUGGGCUCGCGGCCUAUCAGCUUGUUGGUGGGGUGAUGGCCUACCAAGGCGACGACGGGUAGCCGGCCUGAGAGGGUGAUCGGCCACACUGGGACUGAGACACGGCCCAGACUCCUACGGGAGGCAGCAGUGGGGAAUAUUGCACAAUGGGCGGAAGCCUGAUGCAGCGACGCCGCGUGGGGGAUGAAGGCCUUCGGGUUGUAAACCUCUUUCAGCACCGGCGAAUGUGACGGUAGGUGCAGAAGAAGCGCCGGCUAACUACGUGCCAGCAGCCGCGGUAAUACGUAGGGCGCAAGCGUUGUCCGGAUUUAUUGGGCGUAAAGAGCUCGUAGGUGGUUUGUCGCGUCCGUCGUGAAAGCUCGGGGCUUAACUCCAGGUCUGCGGUGGAUACGGGCAGGCUAGAGGCAGGUAGGGGAGAACGGAAUUCCCGGUGUAGCGGUGAAAUGCGCAGA
rnacentral:rRNA from 1 species